rnacentral:rRNA from 1 species
UACAGAGGUCGCAAGCGUUGUUCGGAUUCAUUGGGCGUAAAGGGUGCGUAGGCGGCGCGGUAAGUCGGGUGUGAAAUCUCGGGGCUUAACUCCGAAACUGCAUUCGAUACUGCGGUGCUUGAGGACUGGAGAGGAGACUGGAAUUCAUGGUGUAGCGGUGAAAUGCGUAGAUAUCUGGAGGAACACCGGUGGCGAAGGCGGCAUCCUGGACCAACACUGACGCUGAGGAGCGAAAGCCAGGGGAGCAAACGGG